rnacentral:rRNA from 1 species
UACGAAGGGGGCUAGCGUUGUUCGGAAUUACUGGGCGUAAAGCGCACGUAGGCGGAUUGUUAAGUUAGGGGUGAAAUCCCAGGGCUCAACCCUGGAACUGCCUUUAAUACUGGCAAUCUCGAGUCCGAGAGAGGUGAGUGGAAUUCCGAGUGUAGAGGUGAAAUUCGUAGAUAUUCGGAGGAACACCAGUGGCGAAGGCGGCUCACUGGCUCGGUACUGACGCUGAGGUGCGAAAGCGUGGGAGCAACAGG